GCGGACGUAGCUCAGUUGGUAGAGCGUUGGCUUCCCAAGCCGAAGGUCGCGGGUUCGACCCCCGUCGUCCGCU
rnacentral:tRNA from 1 species